GUGCAUGUAGCUCAGCUGGAUAGAGCGUCUGACUACGGAUCAGAAGGCCGGGAGUUCGAAUCUUCUCAUGCACGCUA
rnacentral:tRNA from 1 species